SKUGCUCAGGACGAACGCUGGCGGCGUGCUAAUACAUGCAAGUCGAGCGGACAGAUGGGAGCUUGCUCCUGAUGUUAGCGGCGGACGGGUGAGUAACACGUGGGUAACCUGCCUGUAAGACUGGGAUAACUCCGGGAAACCGGGGCUAAUACCGGAUGCUUGAUUGAACCGCAUGGUUCAAUUAUAAAAGGUGGCUUUUAGCUACCACUUACAGAUGGACCCGCGGCGCAUUAGCUAGUUGGUGAGGUAACGGCUCACCAAGGCAACGAUGCGUAGCCGACCUGAGAGGGUGAUCGGCCACACUGGGACUGAGACACGGCCCAGACUCCUACGGGAGGCAGCAGUAGGGAAUCUUCCGCAAUGGACGAAAGUCUGACGGAGCAACGCCGCGUGAGUGAUGAAGGUUUUCGGAUCGUAAAACUCUGUUGUUAGGGAAGAACAAGUACCGUUCGAAUAGGGCGGUACCUUGACGGUACCUAACCAGAAAGCCACGGCUAACUACGUGCCAGCAGCCGCGGUAAUACGUAGGUGGCAAGCGUUGUCCGGAAUUAUUGGGCGUAAAGCGCGCGCAGGCGGUUUCUUAAGUCUGAUGUGAAAGCCCCCGGCUCAACCGGGGAGGGUCAUUGGAAACUGGGGAACUUGAGUGCAGAAGAGGAGAGUGGAAUUCCACGUGUAGCGGUGAAAUGCGUAGAGAUGUGGAGGAACACCAGUGGCGAAGGCGACUCUCUGGUCUGUAACUGACGCUGAGGCGCGAAAGCGUGGGGAGCGAACAGGAUUAGAUACCCUGGUAGUCCACGCCGUAAACGAUGAGUGCUAAGUGUUAGAGGGUUUCCGCCCUUUAGUGCUGCAGCAAACGCAUUAAGCACUCCGCCUGGGGAGUACGGUCGCAAGACUGAAACUCAAAGGAAUUGACGGGGGCCCGCACAAGCGGUGGAGCAUGUGGUUUAAUUCGAAGCAACGCGAAGAACCUUACCAGGUCUUGACAUCCUCUGACAACCCUAGAGAUAGGGCUUCCCCUUCGGGGGCAGAGUGACAGGUGGUGCAUGGUGUCGUCAGCU
rnacentral:rRNA from 1 species